rnacentral:ncRNA from 1 species
UAACAGGCUGGGAAGAGAAAGAGUAGCCUUGGAAUGCUUGAAGAGAGCCUUUGGGUGGUGCGAAAAGGCAGCAGGAAAAGGGGAAUACACCUCGGAGCCUCCUAUGGCAAAGAUAGGACGCGGACUUCGGCGUUAUGAAGAAGAGCAUAUCCUGACAACAAGGGAUAUGAAUUAAGGUGGUACCGCGCAAAGACGUCCUUAUU